GAGGUUGUAGCUCAGUGGUAGACUGCUUGCCCAGUAUGUAUGAGGUACAGAGUUCAAUGCACAGCACCACA
rnacentral:tRNA from 1 species